rnacentral:rRNA from 1 species
AUUGAACGCUGGCGGCAUGCUUUACACAUGCAAGUCGAACGGUAACAGGGUGCUUGCACCGCUGACGAGUGGCGAACGGGUGAGUAAUGCGUCGGAACGUGCCGAGUAGUGGGGGAUAACGCAGCGAAAGUUGUGCUAAUACCGCAUACGUACUGAGGUAGAAAGUGGGGGACCUUCGGGCCUCACGCUAUUCGAGCGGCCGACGUCGGAUUAGCUAGUAGGUGAGGUAAAGGCUCACCUAGGCGACGAUCAGGAGCGGGACUGCGCGGAUGAUCCGCCCCACUGGGACUGAGACACGGCCCAGACUCCUACGGGAGGCAGCAGUGGGGAAUUUUGGACAAUGGGCGAAAGCCUGAUCCAGCCAUGCCGAGUGUCUGAAGAAGGCCUUCGGGUUGUAAAGGACUUUUGUCAGGGAGGAAAUCCCUAGUGCUAAUAACACUGGGGGAUGACAGUACCUGAAGAAUAAGCACCGGCUAACUACGUGCCAGCCGCCGCAGUAA